UACAGAGGGUGCAAGCGUUAAUCGGAAUUACUGGGCGUAAAGCGCACGUAGGCGGUUUUUUAAGUCAGAUGUGAAAGCCCCGGGCUCAACCUGGGAAUUGCAUUUGAAACUGGAAAACUAGAGUGUGUGAGAGGGGGGUAGAAUUCCAAGUGUAGCGGUGAAAUGCGUAGAGAUUUGGAGGAAUACCAGUGGCGAAGGCGGCCCCCUGGCACAACACUGACGCUCAGGUGCGAAAGCGUGGGGAGCAAACAGGAUUAGAUACCCUGGUAGUCCACGCCGUAAACGAUGUCUACUAGCUGUUCGUGGUCUUGUACUGUGAGUAGCGCAGCUAACGCACUAAGUAGACCGCCUGGGGAGUACGGUCGCAAGAUUA
rnacentral:rRNA from 2 species